rnacentral:lncRNA from 1 species
UAAACAGAUAGCCUAUCAAAGGUUCUAAGUAACGAAUAAUCGAAGGAGAAUCAUAUUCGACAUAGAUUCUCAUCCUUCACUGAGGCCCCAUUUUUGUACGUAAGGGCAGCGAGAUCGGCACAUAUACCGCACAACCAAAAACGCGUAGGUGUAGUUCUAAAAAAGAAUGGUGUAAACCAUCCUUGACGAAUAGUCUAUGGUGGGGCGUUAAGAAGAUUAGUUCUCCAUGAAUGUGUUUACGUGUAGACGGCGGCAUACGAGCCUCUGUUAGGCUAGAGAGAAUACGUGGAAUAUAGCUUCGACUAUCUUCGUACAUAAAAAUAAAUAGUUGGCUUUGCUUUGAUACAGCAAUCUUGGGCACUUACCAAACAUCAAAUAACUAAUAAUUAAUUUUAGUUUGUGCAUAAAUUGAUGGGAGACAAUGUUGGUCCAAAUAUAUAUGGGUAAACGCCUAAUUUUUCAAAAGAGUCUAGGUUACCGGUUAGGCAGUUGCACCACAAACCUAAUGUACCAAGGAAGACGAGAAAGAUGCAAGAACUUGCUACAUGAACACUUCGAAUUUGACAAUAUCUAGAAAUUAUAAGUAAUUGACAAUUAAUGAGAAAUCUCCGUUCAUUAAUUCGUCAUUACCGUGGAUUAGUAAAAAAGAAAUUUUAUUUGAACCCAUUUAACAUUUCUCUACACCCAACUUAAACUUUAAAUAUGAAAUGUCUUUAUUAUCCUAUUGCAUAAUUACCAUCAUGUACACGAUGAAAUUAAUUAUAAAAGUAAAAUUUAUCAAUAUACCCCCUGCCACCCCAAAAAUAAUCAAACACUAACCAUCACUAAUCUUUCUUCGACGUUCUAUUGUGACAAAAAUCCUAAGACGCAUUCAUAGAAAUAAAAACCGAUUUUUUUUUACGUAUGAACGGUGAUUUUGAAGUUUUGGAUCCUCCAACUUUUUUAUCGUCAUCAUGACUACCAACACCACCACCAUAUCUCCAACACUAACCUACUUCUACUUCUACUUCUACUGCUGCCAAAACAAUAAGCAACAGCUUAUCAAGGUCAACGACAAGAAAAGGUGGAGGAGGAGGAUAAGAGAGUUGGCAUAUGCUUUCACUAGUACUGCUACCUCUUAUAUAUGAGAUCAAAACCCUACUUAUUGUAAGAGUAGGGUUUCUUUGACAAAAGGUUGGCUCAAGGGGAAUCAAGUGAGUCGAUCUGAUAAUUCGGUAUUAUUCCCAAUACUACAAUCCGGCCUACAAAAUCUGCAUGCAUUUGUUAAACUAGUUAGGGUUUAGUUAAUUUAGUUUGACUCUCAUAGGCUCAUGGCACUGUGUUUAAUUAGAUUAAUAGAUUUAAUUAACAUGGAUAUUCAUGAGACUGAUCUGGGUAGCUUCUAAUGUAAAAAUAAUGAGUGUAAAGAUAAAUUUGCAUAUUGAAUUGGGUUUGCGAGGGUAGUUUAGGUAAUAAAUUUGGGUUUAAAGAGAUAUUGAUAGUUUACUUAAAAAUGAUAUGGGUGUAGAGAGGAAGUUGGAUGUAGAGAUAGGUUGUCAGGGUUCAAAUAAAAUUUCCCUUAGCACAAUGAGCUAGACCACGUUAAAUGUUUCUAUAACCAACUUUUCAUCAAAUUUUCCGUCAUUUGAGAGGUAUGUAACUCACUUUUGAGGACAUACGGUCUUCACUAAAAUUAUGCUCCUUGUAGUUUGCCUCUUUAACUCUUCACAAUAGUCUCAAAAAAUACACAUACUGCUUUUCAAUGUUUCAUUAUUUAGA